rnacentral:rRNA from 1 species
UGAGUCUGUCCGCACCUGAUCAGCAUGCCGCGUGAGUGAUGAAGGCCUUCGGGUUGUAAAGCUCUUUUGGCGGGGACGAUAAUGACGGUACCUGACGAAUAAGCUCCGGCUAACUUCGUGCCAGCAGCCGCGGUAAUACGAAGGGAGCUAGCGUUGUUCGGAAUUACUGGGCGUAAAGGGCGCGUAGGCGGUCUUAUAAGUUUGGUGUGAAAGCCCUGGGCUUAACCUAGGAAUAGCAUUGGAUACUGUAAGACUUGAGACCGAGAGAGGGAAAUGGAAUUGCGAGUGUAGAGGUGAAAUUCGUAGAUAUUCGCAAGAACACCAGUGGCGAAGGCGAUUUCCUGGCUCGGUACUGACGCUAAGGCGCGAAAGCGUGGGGAGCAAACAGGAUUAGAUACCCUGGUAGUCCACGCUGUAAACGAUGAAUGCUAGAUGUUGGGGAUUAAAAUCUUCAGUGUCGUCGCUAACGCAAUAAGCAUUCCGCCUGGGGAGUACGGUCGCAAGAUUAAAACUCAAAUGAAUUGACGGA